rnacentral:misc_RNA from 1 species
GAUGAAGAACGUAGCGAAAUGCGAUACGUAAUGUGAAUUGCAGAAUUCAGUGAAUCAUCGAAUCUUUGAACGCAUAUUGCGCUCUCUGGUAUUCCGGAGAGCAUGCUUGUUUGAGUAUCAGUAAACACCUCAACUUCCAUAUCUUUUUUUGAAAUGGGAGUUGGACUUGAGUGAUCCCAACGCUUUUCCUCACCGAAAAGUGGCGGGUUACUUGAAAUGCAGGUGCAGCUGGACUUUUCUCUGAGCUAUAAGCAUAUCUAUUUAGUCUGCCUAAAAAACAGAUUAUUACCUUUGCUGCAGCUAACAUAAAGGAGAUUAGUUCUUGUGCUGACUGAUGCAGGAUUCACAAAGACAGCUUCGGCCGACUUUGUAAACUCGAUCUCAAAUCAAGUAAGACUACCCGCUGAACUUAAGCAUAUCAAUAAGCGGAGGA